GUAUAAAUGGGGUCAGCUGGGUGUUUGUAUUUGAAUCUGAAUCUGAAGUAACAGUCUUCUGGAAGAUGCUGGUUUGUGAAGAUGUGACUGCAUGGACAUGGGUGCAUCCUGUUAUCUGGCUACCAGUUCACCAAGCCUGGUCUUUCCCUGGGAUCAGACCACAUGCCCCUCCGGCAAUGCACUGCGCCACCUGGUGAUGGAGGCCCUGCAGUGUGAAAUCAGGAGACCUAAGAUAUUGGUUUAAUGUCUAACGUCUGCCACUCAGGGAAUGUGCGUUCCAGUAGACGGGUCUUCAUCAUGGCCCCACGACCGGUGGCGACUUCUCAAUCGUGAAGGGGAAUCACCCGCAGGCAGAAAUGAAAACCGGCUCCUGUGUGGCAUAACUGAAAUCCGCGAGAGUCAAGUUCUGCCGCAUGUGACUCAAUUGCUUAUUUUAUCAGCUGAAGUUGCCCCCACUGACCUUUUGCUGGAUAUUACGCUGACCCAGUGUGGCCUAUAUGUGAGAAGAAUUCUGUAUGUUGGUCAUCAUACUGUAGAUCAAGUGUAGUACAGGCAAGUGUUGAGUAUGGAAAUUAACCACCAAGUUGUAUUAGUGUUAUGCAUGUAACACGUAAGGAAAACUCAUUAUCCUACUCAGCUUGUCAGAAAGGUUUUUCCUCGUAUAAAAAGCUGAAAGACUGGGACUUGGGCAUGCUAGAUGAAGGCCAGAUGUGACUCAAAGAUGCAUCAGAAGCUGAAGCCGGGAGACCCAGUAAUCGGAAAAGGUAAUCAAAUAGUGAAUAUGUCGGAUGUCCUCGGCAUUUGAAUUACAUGCCUUUUCCCUCUCCUCUCACCACAAUGCUCUAAUCUUUUUUUAUCCAACACUGCAUCCCUGUCAGAUGAUACCUGUUACUUCUUUUCCAACCUGAUACCACCCUAAGUGUUCCACUAGCGAACCUCUCGUCUUAGUGGGGAUGUUGAAAUG